CCUCCAGCAACUAGUCCUCCUCCUCCAUCCGCAAACUCCGACCCGCCAUCUGAAGGUCCUUCACCUAAAAACGGCGCCGUUUCAAACAGAUUUGCUUGUUCUGGAACUGUGGCUGCUGGCUUCUUCGCUGCCGUUUUGGCGAUGUAGAGUUAGUCGAUGCACAGGAUUAUUGGGUAUUGACGUAUAGUCUUAUUUAUGGCGUGAAGAGGAGUUUUUAUUUUUAUUUAUUUAACAUAGUCUUUUUGGUUGUUGACCAAUGCCAAUGUGUGCGUUGAUGGUUUGUUCUUCUUGUUUGGUUAAAAAAUAAAAAAUUUUGUUAUUGAAAAAAAA
rnacentral:misc_RNA from 1 species